rnacentral:rRNA from 1 species
GACGAACGCUGGCGGCGUGCUUAACACAUGCAAGUCGAACGGUGAAGCGCCUUCCUUUUUGGUGGGUGUGGAUGAGUGGCGAACGGGUGAGUAACACGUGAGUAACCUGCCCCCUUCUUCUGGAUAACCGCAUGAAAGUGUGGCUAAUACGGGAUAUUCUGGGUCUGUCGCAUGAUGGGUCUGGGAAAGAUAUUGUUUCGGUGGGGGAUGGGCUCGCGGCCUAUCAGCUUGUUGGUGGGGGGAUGGCCUACCAAGGCGGUGACGGGUAGCCGGCCUGAGAGGGUGGACGGUCACACAGGGACUGAGACACGGCGCAGACUCCUACGGGAGGCAGCAGUGGGGAAUAUUGCACAAUGGGCGCAAGCCUGAUGCAGCGACGCCGCGUGAGGGAUGGAGGCCUGCGGGUUGUGAACCUCUUUAGCCAGUGAAGCAGGCCUGCCUCGUUUGUGGGUGGGUUGACGGUAGCUGGAUAAGAAGCGCCGGCUAACUACGUG